rnacentral:rRNA from 1 species
AGCGUGGGUAACCUGCCCUAUACACAUGGAUAACAUACUGAAAAGUUUACUAAUACAUGAUAAUAUAUAUUUACGGCAUCGUAGAUAUAUCAAAGUGUUAGCGGUAUAGGAUGGACCCGCGUCUGAUUAGCUAGUUGGUGAGAUAACUGCCCACCAAGGCGACGAUCAGUAGCCGACCUGAGAGGGUGAUCGGCCACAUUGGAACUGAGACACGGUCCAAACUCCUACGGGAGGCAGCAGCA